GCGGACGUCGGUGCGUGUGCGGGGGUAAUAGGUAGGUGGCAAGGGUUGUUCGGGUUCAGUGGGCGUACAGGGUGUGUAGGCGGUGUGGGAAGCCUUCUGUUAAAGCUUCGGGCCCAACCCGGAAAGCGCGGAGGGUACUGCCAGGCUAGAGGGUGGGAGAGGAGCGCGGAAUUCCCGGUGUAGCGGUGAAAUGCGUAGAGAUCGGGAGGAAGGCCGGUGGCGAAGGCGGCGCUCUGGAACACACCUGACGCUGAGACACGAAAGCGUGGGGAGCAAACAGGAUUAGAUACCCUAGUAGUC
rnacentral:rRNA from 1 species